rnacentral:rRNA from 1 species
AAUGAACGUUGGCGGCGUGGAUUAGGCAUGCAAGUCGAGCGAGAACCCAGCAAUGGGGGACAGCGGCGCAAGGGACAGUAAUGUGUAGAUCAUCUGCACUCAGGCCCGGGAUAGCUGCGGGAAACUGCAGGUAAUACCGGAUAACAUCUCCGGAUCAAAGGUGUGAUUCCGCCUGAGGAUGAGUCUACAUCCUAUUAGCUAGUUGGCGGGGUAACGGCCUACCAAGGCGAUGAUGGGUAGCGGGUGUGAGAGCACGACCCGCGUCCUUGGGACUGAGACACUGCCCAGACACCUACGGGUGGCUGCAGUCGAGAAUCUUCGGCAAUGGGCGCAAGCCUGACCGAGCGACGCCGCGUGCGGGAUGAAGGCCUUCGGGUUGUAAACCGCUGUCAGAGGGGAUGAAAUACAGGUGGGUUCUCCCAUCUGUUUGACAUAGCCUCAGAGGAAGGACGGGCUAAGUUCGUGCCAGCAGCCGCCGCGGUAA